rnacentral:rRNA from 1 species
CAAUAGCGUAUAUUUAAGUUGUUGCAGUUAAAAAGCUCGUAGUCGGAUUUUGGCUGAGAACGAUCGGUCCGCCGUUAGGUGUGCACUGAUUGGUCUCAGCUUCAUGGUGAGGAGGUGUGCUUCACGGCCACUUAGUCACCGUGGUUACUUUGAAAAAAUUAGAGUGUUCAAAGCGGGCUUACGCUUGAAUAUAUUAGCAUGGAAUAACACCAUAGGACUCCUGUCCUAUUUCGUUGGUCUCGGGACGGGAGUAAUGAUUAAGAGGAACAGUUGGGGGCAUUCGUAUUUCAUUGUCAGAGGUGAAAUUCUUGGAUUUAUGAAAGACGAACUUCUGCGAAAGCAUUUGCCAAGGAUGUUUUCAUUGA